UACGGAGGGGGCAAGCGUUGUUCGGAGUUACUGGGUGUAAAGCGCACGUAGGCGGUUUUGUAAGUCUGGGGUCAAAGGCGACAGCUCAACUGUCGUAAGGCCUUAGAUACUAUAGAACUGGAGUGCAGGAGAGGAAGGUAGAAUUCCCGGUGUAGCGGUGAAAUGCGUAGAGAUCGGGAGGAAUACCAGUGGCGAAGGCGGCCUUCUGGACUGACACUGACACUGAGGUGCGAAAGCGUGGGUAGCAAACAGG
rnacentral:rRNA from 1 species